rnacentral:tRNA from 1 species
ACCGUUUUAGAAACAUCAGUGGCCAACGAUCGUCAGGAUUGUUGAGCUGCAUUGGCGGGAUUUCGCCGUCUUCGUUUCUCUUUCUUCGCGGACGAACACGCGCUGGGGCUGCAAGCUUGCAGAAUCCCUGGUCCUUGACUGGAUAUGCGUUAGGGGCUUGUAGCUCAGUUGGUUAGAGCGCGCGCUUGAUAAGCGUGAGGUCGGAAGUUCAAGUCUUCCCAGGCCCACCACACUCAUCGAGUGAGCAUUCGUCUUCUGGUUACGGGGCCAUAGCUCAGCUGGGAGAGCGCGUGCUUUGCAAGCAUGAGGUCGUCGGUUCGAUCCCGUCUGGCUCCACCAGAUGGUUUGAUCAUCGACUGAUCGUGCACCUAAAUCGUCCGCGAAACAUCACUUCGCACUUACUAGUCCGGAUGGACAGUAAGCUGCGUGAUUUCUGACAUCGUAAAGAGGAGAUCGAUCCGAGUUGGAUCGGGCAACAAGCAAUUGUUGCGCGAUACUUCAUUAUCUCCGGAUCAUUUCGGCGCUCGUGCGCCUUUCAAUGUAGCUCACAAGGCUGCGUCUGAGAGGAAUGCGAGUUGUAAAUGAUCCUUUUAGCGAAGCUUGACCGCCUCGCUAUCGGAACGAUCUUACGAAGCAAGCUGGUCUUUCUAAUCAUUGUCCGGCUGCAGAUAGCGUUCAUCGAGGGCGCGUGCCGCAAGGUAAUUCUGCAGACAACAUUCUGCCGAGUGUGUGGACAUUGAUAAUGAGAGCAAUCANGGCCUAAGGGGUCGGGAGCUG